rnacentral:rRNA from 1 species
GACGAACGCUGGCGGCGUGCUUAACACAUGCAAGUCGUACGGUAAGGCCCUUUCGGGGGUACACGAGUGGCGCACGGGUGCGUAACACGUGCGUAACCUGCCCACAACUUUGGGAUAACGCUAGGAAACUGGUGCUAAUACUGGAUAUGUGCUCCUGCUUCAUGGUGGGGGUUGGAAAGCUCCGGCGGUUGUGGAUGGACUCGCGGCCUAUCAGCUUGUUGGUGGGGUAGUGGCCUACCAAGGCGGCGACGGGUAGCCGGCCUGAGAGGGUGACCGGCCACGUUGGGACUGAGAUACGGCCCAGACUCCUACGGGAGGCAGAAGUGGGGAAUAUUGCACAAGGGGCGCAAGCCUGAUGCAGCAACGCCGCGUGCGGGAUGACGGCCUUCGGGUUGUAAACCGCUUUCAGCAGGGACGAAGCUUUUUGUGACGGUACCUGCAGAAGAAGCACCGGCUAACUACGUG